GUGGGGUUUGUGUUUGAAAUUUAGUGAAGCAGGUAUUUUUGCCAUUUGGACAAAAGGACUAGCUUUGAACCACAAGCUUUUUGCUAUUUGCACUACAUACACUUCUAUUUCCUCGUCGUAUUUGAUUUAAACCAACAAGUGUCUUUAAUGAGUUUUAUGUUCAGGAUCAUGCAACUGCUUUAGUGAAACAUUUCAAUACUGACACCUGUGCUUCAAAUCUAACAAUUUUGAAAACCUGAAAAAGUACAACAGAAUGCACAAAGGGACAAACAUAGAGGAGUACCUGUGGGAUUUGAAAUUGCAAUAUAUGAACCAUGGGAUAAGACGAAAACCAGCAUCCACAAUGACCUUUCACAGCUGGAGGGUACAGCAUAAUUUGAACAAUAGGUUCAGUGUGGCCAAAGAGUGAAAAGAGAGGGAAAGGGAUCUGGACUGACGGGGUGGAGUUCCUAGAAGGCUGAUCAGGAGAUUCAACAGUUACAAGUACCCUGGCUCCUUAAAAAGCAUUAUCUCUCUUCAAGCAAUGGAAAUGUGGAGGAUUAAUGAAUGUCCGAGUCACAAUCCGACAUGAAACAUGAAGCAUUCAUCUAUUAUUUCUAUUCUAUCUGUACAUCUGUUACAGCUCCUGGAUAACAUUCUCCAUAAAAUACUUUUGGAAGUGAUUGCUUCAUCUUUUAUACAGACCUAUCUGUUGUUGGACUGCAAGUGCUCCCUGAAUGCACAAUUGAAAUCAUUAGAACCACAGCAGAAAGUAACUGAAUCUUGACUUAUAUGUAUGAAACGUGUUAAACCGGCUCUAAAUAAAAAGUGUUGAAAUGCUAGAACAAACAAGUUUCCAGAUAUCAUCUUCAAAACAUCCAUUGUGUUAUUAUACGGUGGGAUAUGUUUUUGGAAUCCAGUACAGCAGGCAUGGUGAGGGACUUCUCAUGAACCACAAGGUUUUUGUUUUCUGUUUGCACUUUUGAUUCAGUAACAAAAUAUCAGCAGUCAAUAGACCUUGUGUCUCACAAUCUUCCUCCUUUCUUACCUUACUGUAUGGCCUUUCACGUCGCAGAUUUGAUUUGAACCAGGAACUGCCCUAUAUACAGUAUAUGUUAUUUAAAUAAGAGUUGUAAAAUGCAGAAGAUUUCCUGUUUCAUGUUCAGGAUUAUGAAUGCAGCUGCAUUAGUGAAACAUUCCAAUACUGAUACCUGUGCCUUAAGUCUAUGAUUAAAGACAGAACACACAAAAAGUCAAAUAUAGGGGGCUAGAUGUGGGAUCUAAAAUGUAAGUAUAUAGCAAAAGGAAUGGAGAGGUGGUAUCUUAAACGUGUAUUGUAGGGUCUUUAGCAUACAAUAUAACCAAACUUAAGGUAACUGUAUCUGUUAUUUAGUGCUAAAUUAAUAAAAUUGAACUGAACUAAA
ensembl:lncRNA